GAGUUUGAUCCUGGCUCAGGAUGAACGCUAGCUACAGGCUUAACACAUGCAAGUCGAGGGGCAGCGGUAUCGAAAGCUUGCUUUCGGUAGCCGGCGACCGGCGCACGGGUGAGUAACGCGUAUCGAACCUGCCUCAUACUCGGGAAUAGCCUUGCGAAAGUAAGAUUAAUGCCCGGUGUUUUCAGAGUCCCGCAUGAGGCUUUGAACAAAGAUUUAUCGGUAUGAGAUGGCGAUGCGUCCCAUUAGCUUGUUGGCGGGGUAACGGCCCACCAAGGCAUCGAUGGGUAGGGGUUCUGAGAGGAAGGUCCCCCACAUUGGAACUGAGACACGGUCCAAACUCCUACGGGAGGCAGCAGUGAGGAAUAUUGGUCAAUGGGCGGAAGCCUGAACCAGCCAAGUAGCGUGCAGGAAGACGGCCCUCCGGGUUGUAAACUGCUUUUAGUUGGGAAUAAAACGGGGCUCGUGAGCCCCCUUGCAUGUACCAUCAGAAAAAGGACCGGCUAAUUCCGUGCCAGCAGCCGCGGUAAUACGGAAGGUCCGGGCGUUAUCCGGAUUUAUUGGGUUUAAAGGGAGCGCAGGCGGACCUUUAAGUCAGCUGUGAAAUACGGCGGCUCAACCGUCGAACUGCAGUUGAUACUGGAGGUCUUGAGUGCACACAGGGAUGCUGGAAUUCAUGGUGUAGCGGUGAAAUGCUCAGAUAUCAUGAAGAACUCCGAUCGCGAAGGCAGGCAUCCGGGGUGCAACUGACGCUGAGGCUCGAAAGUGCGGGUAUCAAACAGGAUUAGAUACCCUGGUAGUCCGCACAGUAAACGAUGAAUACUCGCGGUUUGCGAUACAAUGUAAGCCGCCAAGCGAAAGCGUUAAGUAUUCCACCUGGGGAGUACGCCGGCAACGGUGA
rnacentral:rRNA from 1 species